AUGCAAGUCGAACGGCAGCAUAGGUGCUUGCACCUGAUGGCGAGUGGCGAACGGGUGAGUAAUGCAUCGGAACGUGCCCAGUCGUGGGGGAUAACGCAGCGAAAGCUGUGCUAAUACCGCAUACGAUCUAUGGAUGAAAGCAGGGACCUUCGGGCCUCGCGCGAUUGGAGCGGCCGAUGUUAGAUUAGGUAGUUGGUGGGGUAAAGGCUCACCAAGCCAACGAUCUAUAGCUGGUCUGAGAGGACGACCAGCCACACUGGAACUGAGACACGGUCCAGACUCCUACGGGAGGCAGCAGUGGGGAAUUUUGGACAAUGGGCGAAAGCCUGAUCCAGCAAUACCGCGUGCAGGAAGAGGGCCCUCGGGUUGUAAACUGCUUUUGUACGGAACGAAACGGCGCGCUCUAAUAAAGUGCGCUAAUGACGGUACCGUAAGAAUAAGCACCGGCUAACUACGUGCCAGCAGCCGCGGUAAUACGUAGGGUGCAAGCGUUAAUCGGAAUUACUGGGCGUAAAGCGUGCGCAGGCGGUUUUGUAAGACAGGCGUGAAAUCCCCGGGCUCAACCUGGGAAUUGCGCUUGUGACUGCAAGGCUAGAGUACGGUAGAGGGGGGUAGAAUUCCGCGUGUAGCAGUGAAAUGCGUAGAUAUGCGGAGGAACACCGAUGGCGAAGGCAGCCCCCUGGACCUGUACUGACGCUCAUGCACGAAAGCGUGGGGAGCAAACAGGAUUAGAUACCCUGGUAGAAGGGCG
rnacentral:rRNA from 1 species